UUUUUUCCAAGUCUCUAAUUUUUGCCUGAAUUACCCUUGCGGGUUCUCCACCGAGACGCUCAUUUUUGCCUAAGCCGCCCUUUCGGGUUUUCAACUUAGCGAGCUAUUCUGUUUUUUUUGCAUAUACUUUUUUUUCUAGGCAAAGUAUCUCUUAACUGCAUCUGAAUUCACAGGACGAGUGAAAUCCUCCCCAUCCAUUGUUGUAAGCAUCAAAGCACCGCCUGAAAAGGCUCUCUUAACAAC
rnacentral:lncRNA from 1 species